GACGAACGCUGGCGGCGUGCUUAACACAUGCAAGUCGAACGGGUCUGCCCUGUUUUUUGCGGGGUGGGUCAGUGGCGAACGGGUGAGUAACACGUGAGUAACCUGCCCCUCACUUCUGGAUAACCGCUUGAAAGGGUGGCUAAUACGGGGUGUUCUAGCUGUGCCGCAUGGUGUGGCUGGGAAAGAUUCACUUUUGUGGUGUUUUGGUGGGGGAUGGGCUCGCGGCCUAUCAGCUUGUUGGUGGGGUGAUGGCCUGCCAAGGCUUUGACGGGUAGCCGGCCUGAGAGGGUGGGCGGUCACACUGGGACUGAGAUACGGCCCAGACUCCUGCGGGAGGCAGCAGUGGGGGGUAUUGCACAAUGGGCGGAAGCCUGAUGCAGCGACGUCGCGUGAGGGAUGGAGGCCUUCGGGUUGUGAACCUCUUUCGCCGGUGAAGAAGGUCCUGCUCUUUGUGGUGGGGUUGACGGUAGCCGGGUUAUGAAGCGCCGGCUAACUACGUG
rnacentral:rRNA from 1 species